UACAGAGGGUGCAAGCGUUGUUCGGAAUUAUUGGGCGUAAAGCGCGUGUAGGCGGCUUAGCAAGUCGGGCGUGAAAGCCCUCGGCUCAACCGAGGAAGUGCACCCGAAACUGCUGAGCUUGAGUGCCGGAGAGGAUGGCGGAAUACCCCAAGUAGAGGUGAAAUUCGUAGAUAUGGGGUGGAACACCGGUGGCGAAGGCGGCAUCCUGGACCAACACUGACGCUGAGUGAGCGAAAGCCAGGGGAGCAAACGGG
rnacentral:rRNA from 1 species